rnacentral:lncRNA from 1 species
AUGAAUGAUAUUUUGAGAAAUGUUGCAGCCGCCUGUUUAACACUUGAGAAGUCUUGCUUUACAUCCUUAUUAUUCUCUUCCCAACUACUCUCAGGAAGGCACACUCCUCAUAAAAGACUCCUCCCUACUUCUUACUGUUUCCUCAGGAUUUACCUCCAGUGUCUGCCUCAAAUCUUGCAUCUCUCCCUGCAUCAUUUCCUUCCACUGGCCUUGAUGCUUCAGACUGUCCUUGACUUCCUGAAACCGAGCUUGCCUGAUUUGAAGACACUAGUUCCCCUGCAAACGCAAUUUCCUGCAAGCUUUCAGGAUAAAUGAAUAUAUGUGACAUACUUGAUGGUCAUCAUCCUCCAAGAUGGCCCCAGGGAUGUCUGCUCCCCCGGCAUUCCUACACCAUGUAGUCCCUCCCACGUUGUAUGAAGGUUUGUCUGUGAUACCAGGGGCAUAGAGAAGAAGUGAUGGUUUAUCAUCGCCCCAAGUACAUUAUAUAGCAUGUUCUGUUUUGGCUUUCUCUCAGAUCACUCAUUCCGUGGAAAGCCAGCUGCUAUGUCUUGAGGUCAUUCAUGCCACCUAUGAAGAGACACAUGCGGUGAAGAAGACAGACCUCUGGACAACAACCAGUGAGGAACUGACGCCUGCCAACAACCACAUGAGUGAGCUUUGAAACGGAUUUUCUACCCCCAGUCAAGGCUUGAUGUGACUGCAGCUGUUAGGACAGCUUGACUGCAGCCUAGGAGACCAUGAGUUAGAACCACCCAGCUACAGCACUUCCCAUUUCCUGUGCCUUAGAAACUGUGAGAGACAAUAAAUGUUUGUUGUUUCAAACUGCUUACCUUUGG